rnacentral:rRNA from 1 species
AUUGAACGCUGGCGGCAGGCCUAACACAUGCAAGUCGAACGGCAGCAGGGAAAUUGCUUGUGGUUACGGCUGGCGACGGGUGGGCGAGUGCUGGGAAUAUGGCAAGCAGCGGUGGCUAAGGGGAGAAAGCGGGCGAAAAUACGGCGAUACUGCAGAGGGCCUACGGGGGAAAGCAUGGGACCUUCGGACCUUGGGUGAUUCAAUGAGCGGUUGUCGGAUUAGCUAGGUGGAGGGGUAACGACCCACCAAGGCGACGAUCCGUAGCUGGUCUGAGAGGACGAUCAGUCACACUGGAACUGAGACACGGUCCAGACUCCUACGGGAGGCAGCAGUGGGGAAUAUUGGACAAUGGGCGCAAGCCUGAUCCAGCCAUGCCGCGUGGGUGAAGAAGGCCUUCGGGUUGUAAAGCCCUUUUAUUUGGGAGGAAGAGCAGCAGGUUAAUACCCCGCUGUUUUGACGUUACCCACAGAAUAAGCACCGGCUAACUUCGUG